CAAUAGCGUAUAUUAAAGUUGUUGCGGUUAAAAAGCUCGUAGUUGGAUUUCUGCUGAGAACGACCGGUCCGCCCUCUGGGUGUGUAUCUGGCUCUUUCUUGGCAUCUUCUUGGUGAACGUUGCUGCACUUGACUGUGUGGAGCGCUACCCAGGACUUUUACUUUGAGGAAAUUAGAGUGUUUCAAGCAGGCAUACGCCUUGAAUACAUUAGCAUGGAAUAAUAAGAUAGGACCUCGGUUCUAUUUUGUUGGUUUCUAGAGCUGAGGUAAUGAUUAAUAGGGAUAGUUGGGGGCAUUCGUAUUUAACUGUCAGAGGUGAAAUUCUUGGAUUUGUUAAAGCCGGACUACUGCGAAAGCAUUUGCCAAGGAUGUUUUCAUUGA
rnacentral:rRNA from 1 species